rnacentral:rRNA from 1 species
CCUACGGGUGGCUGCAGUGGGGAAUAUUGGACAAUGGGGGCAACCCUGAUCCAGCCAUGCCGCGUGUGUGAAGAAGGCCCUCGGGUUGUAAAGCACUUUCAGUGAGGAAGAACGCCUGGUGGUUAAUACCCAUCAGGAAAGACAUCACUCACAGAAGAAGCACCGGCUAACUCCGUGCCAGCAGCCGCGGUAAUACGGAGGGUGCGAGCGUUAAUCGGAAUUACUGGGCGUAAAGCGCGCGUAGGUGGCUUGAUAAGCCGGUUGUGAAAGCCACGGGCUCAACCUGGGAACGGCAUCCGGAACUGUCAAGCUAGAGUGCAGGAGAGGAAGGUAGAAUUCCCGGUGUAGCGGUGAAAUGCGUAGAGAUCGGGAGGAAUACCAGUGGCGAAGGCGGCCUUCUGGACUGACACUGACACUGAGGUGCGAAAGCGUGGGUAGCAAACAGGAUUAGAUACCCGUGUAGUC